rnacentral:rRNA from 1 species
GACGAACGCUGGCGGCGUGCUUAACACAUGCAAGUCGAACGGAAAGGCCCUGCUUUUGUGGGGUGCUCGAGUGGCGAACGGGUGAGUAACACGUGAGUAACCUGCCCUUGACUUUGGGAUAACUUCAGGAAACUGGGGCUAAUACCGGAUAGGAGCUCCUGCUGCAUGGUGGGGGUUGGAAAGUUUCGGCGGUUGGGGAUGGACUCGCGGCUUAUCAGCUUGUUGGUGGGGUAGUGGCUUACCAAGGCUUUGACGGGUAGCCGGCCUGAGAGGGUGACCGGCCACAUUGGGACUGAGGUACGGCCCAGACUCCUACGGGAGGCAGCAGUGGGGAAUAUUGCACAAUGGGCGGAAGCCUGAUGCAGCAACGCCGCGUGCGGGAUGACGGCCUUCGAGUUGUAAACCGCUUUCGCCUGUGACGAAGCGUGAGUGACGGUAAUGGGUAAAGAAGCACCGGCUAACUACGUG